GUACCUAAAGCCCUAAAACGUCGACUCCCUUCUUUUCGUGCCAUCUCCUCCCCGCCGACGGACUCAACUCUGACGCACGCUCGGGCCCGAUCGCCAGCGCCAGAUAGCAAGACGAGCCUCCGAUUUCCUCUACUUCUCAUCGGAGGUCUCACUGGUAGCGUCUUCCAUCGAAACACUGCUUUGCGCAAAGAGUCUUCGGUUGGGUGAGGAGAUUUGAGCUCUGUGGAUGCUAGAGUGUAUCGCCCGUUCCAGAGCUCGAUAUUGGCCCAGGAUUUGCGCUCCAAGCGGCUGUCUCAUCUUCCUGAGCCUAGGACCCAGCUUAUCUUGUCGGGUUUCCUUCGCCGAUGGUGGGGGACUCCGUCAUUAAGGUAGAUUGAGUGUCUCACUGUAAGGCUCGACCAAGAUCUCCAGUAGCAAGUUAUCACCGGUGGGCAUCCUCAGCAGUUGAUUUUCGGCCGUGAGUUGUUAGCUCUGUAGAAGCUCUGUUUGUGGGUGUGUGGCAGCAAACAUCACCUGUGUGUUUGUGCCGACAAUUUCAUCUCCGAGCAGUGGGUCAACCAAGGUGACGUUAUUGUAGAGUAAGGAGUUGGGUUAUGAAUUCUUAGUGUGGAUUGAAUCUGUAUUAAUGUUAUGUUUUAUUUAGGGAAUAAUCUCAUGAUUUGGUAACCCUAAUUGUGUAGUGUAUAUUAGGGGUUUGGAUUCUUGUUGAGUAGAUCAGAAAUGGGGAUUAGUAGAGGGACUUAGAUCGAGGCAGGUGUCAUGAUGAAGUUGACAUUGGUUUUAGACUACAUUUAGAGACGGGUAGCCAGUAGUUGAUGCCAGUACACUUGGAGGAGGAUCUUGACUACCGGUCCCACGUAGCUCCUGAGGACGGAUUUCUAAUUUUGGUUGUGUUUUGAACUUGUGAAUUUGGUAUUGCAAUAACCCAUUAUGGACUUGAUGUUAUUUUGUAUUUGGUUUUGUUUUAUCGAGGAGUCAAGCCGUGCCGACCCGUGGUGAGUAGUUUUGCUAUUUUAUA